AACGCUUUUGCUAAUACCCGGAAGUGGAUACCAUGAUUCUUCUGUCUAUCAAUAACCGCAUGCAUUGCACGGUGGAUGUGAAGAAGUAGACCAUUAUCUCGGCAAUAAUGAACCAAGCUAGUAUUUGCGUUGAAUAACCUUAGCUUAGAAGUGUCACUGGUUGCUUUGGUACUCUUGCUGUGUAAGGUGA